rnacentral:rRNA from 1 species
UACGUAGGGGCCUAGCGUUGUCCGGAUUUAUUGGGCAUAAAGAGCUCGUAGGCGGUUUGGUGAGUCGGGUGUGAAAUCUCCACGCUCAACGUGGAGGGGCCACCCGAUACUGCCAUGACUAGAGUCCGGAAGAGGCGAGUGGAAUUCCUGGUGUAGCGGUGGAAUGCGCAGAUAUCAGGAGGAACACCAAUAGCGAAGGCAGCUCGCUGGGACGGUACUGACGCUAAGGCGCGAAAGCGUGGGGAGCGAACAGG